UGCUGCCCCAACGGGCAGCAGGCAGCAGGCCGGCACCCUCAACUCUCCCUCGGCCCAGCCCCUCACCCCAGAAACAGCGGUGCUGUCUCCAUUUGCUCUUUGCUCAUCUUUGGGAGGUCUAGAGUUCCAGCACAGAGUGGAGCCACCGUGUACAAGGAGCCUGGGGUCCUCAGCCACCACAUGGAAGUCCACCUAUCAACCAAGCCGCAUUAGUCUGUGAUGAGAGCAAGAAAUAAAUGUUUAUUAUUAUGUGAAACCACUGA